rnacentral:rRNA from 1 species
CGGGUGAGUAAUACAUCGGAACGUGUCUUCUAGUGGGGGAUAACUGCCCGAAAGGGCAGCUAAUACCGCAUGAGACCUGAGGGUGAAAGCGGGGGACCGCAAGACCUCGCGCUGGAAGAGCGGCCGAUGUCCGAUUAGCUAGUUGGUGAGGUAAAGGCUCACCAAGGCGACGAUCGGUAGCUGGUCUGAGAGGACGACCAGCCACACUGGGACUGAGACACGGCCCAG